CUCUUCUCUCCCUCUCCCCGCGGGGACACCGAACAAUUAGAAGUUGCAUUUUGGGGUGAUUAUAACACACCUCGGGGGCGUUCAGGAGGCAAAAAGCUAAAGAGCAAAGGACUUAACGACCUGGAAAGGCAGCGAUCCCUGGCAGCCGUUCCCAACGCACGCAGCACCCAGCAGUGCGGGGCAGCCCCGGGUCAGAGCUGCCGAGCGCACGGAGCUGCCCGCAUUUUUUUAUUAUUAUUGUUAUUAUUUUUAAUUGAAGCUUUGUUUUUCUCGCUUUAUCAGUGAGCCUAUAUCCACCCUUCCUCCCCUUCGCGUUUUCUCCUAUUUACCUCCCAGCAAACAGAUAUUUGUGGCUCGCAAUGAGGCAGACGUGCCGCCCCGUGCGGGGCGGAGCGGGGCCGGGGAUGGAGCCGGGCGGGCUCGGAGCUCCCCCUGCCGCCCGCCGCGGGGCCGGGAGCGGAUUCGGCUCUUUAUUAAUGAACGGGCUGCAAUUAGCGAGCGGUUCCCGGCCCCGGGGCCCUGUGACAGCGUCAGCGAUGCCUCAACUAUGCGGGACGGGGCGGCCGUGCGGUGCAGCUCUCUUACCCCUUCCCCUCUGCCUUUCCCCACGCGGACACAGAAGCGCACAGCACGGACGGCCGCAGGAAGCAAACAGCCGCUCCGAGCGCGCUGUCGGUGCUCAUCUCCCGAACGGAGCGCGAAGCUCCGCCCGCAGCACAGAGCUGCCCUCUGACCGCUGCUACUCCCUUACCCUGCACAGCCGGCUUUACGCCUUGGGCACCCGCUUCAGUGUUGCCUUGCGCUAUUGGCAACAUCCAGCACCGCUCCCCUUCAAACCAACCUGGCCCUCGAGCAGGCAACGGGAAGGGGAAGAAAGCACUGGGCCCUGUGUGGCAACAGCAGAAUUGUCCCUGCAGGACUCUGCAUCCAGCACCGCCUUCUGGGAGAAUCAUCGAAUUACUCAGAGAGAGAGACUUCAGUUUGCUGUUGGAUUGAGAAGUACACAAGUGCUGAAGUGA
rnacentral:lncRNA from 1 species